CCUGGGGCUCGGGGAGGUCCCCGUGUCCCCUGCAUUCCUCAGGGUGGGGGCCGUCACCUCCUUGGGACUGUCUCCAGGGGCCUCUUGCCUCCUCCAGGGCCGAGGACUUCUCCCCACCCCGCCGAGGGAUCGGCGGGCACAGAAAAGGUCCUGGUCUUGGAUUCCCCACGUGGCGGAUCGGAGGCGGUUUGUGGGCCCCCCACCCUGCUGACCUGGCCUGGAACAUAGGGGUUCCCAUGCAGGAGUCCCCGAGAGUAAGGGGCUGGGCCGAGAGACCGACCAUCUGCUCCAGGACGGGAGGGGGGCCUUUCCCAGAGCCCGCGGCCAGGCCCGCUUGGGUCCCGGGGCCCCUCGGCCCCUCUUGGAGAGCAGGGCCCCGAGGCCUCCGACCCGCUGCCUCUGCCUGACACGCCACCCCCGGAGCCAGAUUCCUCUGUCGUAAGUGACCCGAGGCUCCGUUACAGUGCGGGGGCCUCAGGGACCACGUGUGGAGGAGUCCGGGGGGCUGGGGGUGCCGAAGGCAAGGGGGCCCUGGCGUGGGCAGGUUCCCAGGAGGAGCUGGGGGUCUUCCCGGGGCUCAGGCAUGCCGGGCAGUGGUGCUGAGGCAUCAAGCCUGCCACCCCGUCCUUGCCUGGGGCCCAGAACGGCAGCAGUGGGUUUGCUGGGCUUCAGCUGAUGCGGUGUUUCUGGGGCGGCCUCCCUGCCCCCCGCCUCCGGUAGAGCAGGGCAGUCACUGCCCACGGGUAUCCCUGCCGGCAGAGGCUCAGCAGUGGCAGGGGUGGCAGCUGCUGGGCCUCUGGAGCAAGGAGCUGGAUGCACAAAGAUAGAUAGGCCUUCAGGGCUCCCGAGGGGGGCCCCCUGCCAGGCACAGGGUCAGCGGGGGACGCAGCCCCAAGGGGUGUGGAGGGUGAGGGUCCCUUCUCUUAGGAAGCCCCGUGCCUGGGUCCGAUGGGCCCCCUGCCCUCCUCCAGGUCAGCAGCGCACCCCGGGCUCUGGCCCUCCCGGAGGCCGGCCUGUCUGCACGGGAGCUGCGAUCACAGCCAGGAUGGGAUGAAAAUAGGAAGUGGUCUCCAGCGCCAGGCGGUGCCGCCUGCCCUUCUUCCCGGGCGUGGGGGUGGCCGCUCCUGAAGCGCCUGAGUCACCCGCCAACGGCUGCUGGGAACCCUGCAUCCAGCCUCUGGGAAACACUGUGGCCUCUCUGGCUGGACGUCCAAGGCCCAUGCACAGGUCCACGCUCCAGCCCGGGCUCCCAGCCGGGCUGCGGCAGCCUCCUGACCCUUCCCUCUGACCGGGGACCCGUCAGGGCCCUGACUCCGCUGAAGGGGUCUGCUCCUUGUUCCAAUUCAUCCCCGCAGGACCCCUGCCAGGUCGGCCUAGGUUACGGAUGAGGAAGCCAAGGCCCGGAGAGCUGCUCAGGGCCCCACAGCCAAUAACUGGCAGUGCCAGGGCUGGAGCUUAGGACAGUUUCAGCCAAGGAUCCAACACUAAGGAGGGUGAGGCCCGGCCCUGAGAGGCCAUCCUGGAGCCAAGACUCAAAUGACGGGAAGGAGCCGACCAAGGCAAUAUGGGGUGCGGGCCGACCCGUGGCUCAGGCACCGAGGUGGGAGCGCCCCAGGGCGGUCCUGGGGCAGUGGCGCUGGCGCUCUGGCUCCACGAGGCCUUUCCCCGCAGAGGCUGCCGGAGUGUGGGUGAUCCCCGCCCCGCCCGCGGUGCCGAGCCCUGCACACUUCCUGCCGGCCCACCGGGGAGAGCAGGCCGCAGCAGCUUGCGUGGGAAGCACAGGCAAGUUUCCACGGAUCCCGGGUGGGUGUCUCAUCGCCAAAGGGAACGUGGAAGUCCAGAUAGAAAUCAUCCAAGACGGCCCGUCGGGGAGUUCACAGGGAGAGGACUUGUCUCUGGUGAGGGGUUGGGGCAAACACACCAAAGAGUGGAGUCUAAGGAAUGCGUCACUCGAGAAGGGAGAAGGCGUGGCUCUCCCCAGAAGACAGCGCGGCUCCAGGGUUGAGAGGGGUCAGGGCUAUCUGCUGACCCCAUCCUCAUGAUCUCGUCAGAUCCCAGACGCACAGCUGCCUUCUCCUGGGGCUGCUCUGGCCGCUCGAUGGUGUUCUCUGGACUGUCCCUCAGUCUCUGACCUUGGCUUUCACCACUUUCCUGUCUGAGGAAGUUGAAGCCGCCCUCCAAAAAAAAAAAAAAAAAAAAAAACAA